AUUGAACGCUGGCGGCAGGCUUAACACAUGCAAGUCGAACGGAGAUGAGGUGCUUGCACCUUAUCUUAGCGGCGGACGGGUGAGUAAUGCUUAGGAAUCUGCCUAUUAGUGGGGGACAACAUUCCGAAAGGAAUGCUAAUACCGCAUACGUCCUACGGGAGAAAGCAGGGGAUCUUCGGACCUUUCGCUAAUAGAUGAGCCUAAGUCGGAUUAGCUAGUUGGUGGGGUAAAGGCCUACCAAGGCGACGAUCUGUAGCGGGUCUGAGAGGAUGAUCCGCCACACUGGGACUGAGACACGGCCCAGACUCCUACGGGAGGCAGCAGUGGGGAAUAUUGGACAAUGGGGGGAACCCUGAUCCAGCCAUGCCGCGUGUGUGAAGAAGGCCUUAUGGUUGUAAAGCACUUUAAGCGAGGAGGAGGCUACUGAGACUAAUACUCUUGGAUAGUGGACGUUACUCGCAGAAUAAGCACCGGCUAACUCUGUGCCAGCCGCCGCGGUAACAC
rnacentral:rRNA from 1 species